UACGUAGGGUGCGAGCGUUGUCCGGAAUUACUGGGCGUAAAGAGCUCGUAGGUGGUUUGUCGCGUUGUUCGUGAAAACUCACAACUCAAUUGUGGGCGUGCGGGCGAUACGGGCAGACUGGAGUACUGCAGGGGAGACUGGAGUUCCUGGUGUAGCGGUGGAAUGCGCAGAUAUCAGGAGGAACACCGGUGGCGAAGGCGGGACUCUGGGCCGAUACUGACGCUGAGGAGCGAAAGCGUGGGGAGCAAACAGG
rnacentral:rRNA from 1 species